GACAAGAGAGAGAAGUUGAAAGUCACCGUCUUUUCACCUUCUCCGGUCGAUGGCUCCGGCCGUUGGUACUGUGAGAGGGUGGAUCCCCUUUUUCCUUCUUGUUUCAGUCUUGUUUAUGGUUUGCUUAUUAAUCUAAAGGGUUUCAGAUCUGGUCGGAAGCUUCAUUCAUUCGUGUUGAAGCGGAGAGUCUCAAAUCGGAAUCCAUGGACCUCGAUCUCUUCAGAUCUACGGUUUGUGGUGAUGGAUUUAUAAUUACCGGCUGGUUUGAGUAAGAGUAUGCUUCGAGUAAGGCUUGGUUGGCUCCGCUAUGGUGUUGAGACGCGUAGACGGCGCGUGGUGAGCUUCUACAGAGGUCAAUGGCGAGUUUAAGUUGGAUCUGAAGGGAGGCGGUGGGGCAGAAGCGCUUAUGAGACAUAUUCUACAGCAACGGUUAUCCAUAAACUAUCGAUCCGGUUUGUUCUUUCUAUGGAGGAGUUUGAUUCUUAUCUAGAUUGGUUGUGUUUUGGCUUCUUAUGUUAUUAGCUAUGUUCUUGUAGUCCGUGUAUGGUAGUUUGAUUUUGUCUCCGGGAUUGUAUUUGUGCAGUUGCCGGCUUAUGGCUCGGGUUGUGUCUCUUAACUGCCCGCUCUAGAUUAUGGUGUCGUUUCAUUACGACAGCCUUUGUAACUUGCCUUUUGGCUUAACCAGUUUCGAAUCAAUAUAACAACAGAUGACAAAAAAAAAAAGAAAU
rnacentral:lncRNA from 1 species